CAGGAAGAUGACAGUUAACACCGAAACAGAAAGGAGACCUGGGUGUGGAGAAGAGCUGGGCGGGCUUCAUUUCUUCACCCUAGUGCCGGGGAAGUAGUAAUUAGUGUCUGGGAGCUGCGCUCCUCCACUUCUCCCAGUGCCUCUGGCGAUUUCCAAGUGGGAUCUGCGACUUCAGGGCUCUGGCCAAGCCCGCAGGCUGGCGUGUGCGUGUGUGCGUGUGUGCGAAUGAGUGUGUCUGUGCCCCCGCGUGCCUGCUCCCGGGAACUGGUCUCCUCGCCCUCACCCGCUGUGUGUAGCAGCAGAGCGAGAGUGGUGCCUCUAUUUGUGCGUUUGUGUUCGAUUAGCUGCAAUGGGCGGACAGUUUCUGGAGAGAGCAUUUACAAUUUUCUUUCGUUCUGACAGGAUUAGUUGCCGUUGAAGGGGGCUCCGCCAAUGAAAUCUUCUCUGCGCUCUGAUUUGGCGGUUCUUCGGUGCAAAUAUGACAGCUUUCUCUCUCAGCUCUUUUCUGCAUCUCUCCAUGUCCGACCCCGGAGCCCAGUUCUCGGUCUGCAAUUUCUACACCACAACCUUUGCAAUCACCACCACCACCACCCCUAGGUCCCAUGUCAGCAGGUGCCAGGUUGCUACAAAGGUGACAGGGCACAUUGGGAAGAAGGCUUGUUGAUUGCAGAAGAUACUUAUGCCCCGUGUUUCCAGGUCGAUGCCUGUGUGUUCCAUCAGUUAAUGGGGAGUAGUAGUUAAGAGAGUGUACUAGUGAGGUGUUGGUGAGGUGGGAUUUUGCUGUCUAUCGAGGAAAAUAAAAGAUGUGAACUUCC
rnacentral:lncRNA from 1 species